UGAGGAACAUGACCUUCGGCGGGGGAUAGCCGGCCCAACGGCCGGGUAAUACCGCGUACGACCUUUUGGGGACAUCCCCGAGUGGUGAAAGCAGCAAUGCGCCGAUGGAGUGCCUCGCGGCCUAUCAGCUAGUUGGUAGGGUAAUGGCCUACCAAGGCUACGAUCAGUAGCUGGUCUGAGAGGAUGAUCAGGCACAUUGGGACUGAGACACGGCCCAAAACUCCGUACGGGAGCAG
rnacentral:rRNA from 1 species